UGGGGAAUUGUUCGCAAUGGGCGCAAGCCUGACGACGCAACGCCGCGUGGAGGACGAAGAUCUUCGGGUCGUAAACUCCUGUCGAGCGGGAAGAAGGCUCCGCGGUUGAAUACACCGCGGAAUUGACGGUACCGCUAAAGGAAGCCCCGGCUAACUCCGUGCCAGCAGCCGCGGUAAUACGGGGGGGGCAAGCGUUGUUCGGAAUUACUGGGCGUAAAGGGCUCGUAGGCGGCCAACUAAGUCGGAUGUGAAAUCCCCAGGCUUAACCUGGGAACUGCAUCCGAUACUGGAUGGCUUGAAUCCGGGAGAGGGAUGCAGAAUUCCAGGUGUAGCGGUGAAAUGCGUAGAUAUCUGGAGGAAUACCGGUGGCGAAGGCGGCAUCCUGGACCGGCAUUGACGCUGAUGAGCGAAAGCUAGGGGAGCAAACGG
rnacentral:rRNA from 1 species